CCGUAUCUCUGUGCUCGUCUUUACCCUAUUAUAUAUUGUAGAUAAACUAGAAGAUUAGAUAUAAAUUGUCUUGCGGCUACGGCUACUGCUAUACAUACUGAUAUUCGCCUCUUCUGCAACCGAAGACGCUGCGCACAGGAAACAAAACAGUCUUGGUCUUCGUCACUGCCUCAAAUUGAUUCUCGUCUCCAUCAAACAAUCCCUGACAAGACCUCUUGCUCUAACAAUGCAAGACUUCAAUCUCUCCGCUGAACUCCGACUGCCGGCAUAGGACAGUCUCAAGUCACGGCCGAUCCUCUCGAUGAUUGCCAGCAACUGGGUGUAUUUACUCUCUGUUUCCGGCACUGACUCUUGCAACAAAAUUUCCGCUUCUUGAGUCAUGAACUUGCCAACCGGUGAGUAUUACUUCCUGCUUCUUCUCGUCGUAGUACCUGUCUACCUAUUCUUCCGAUUAUGGUCCUGGUUAGGAUGGCAGUUGUUUGUCAAUAACUGACACUCGCACAAUCUUCUUCG